GGGCUCACUCUGGUGAUGAAGUGCAGCUACCCCAGGACUCAGCCUGGGCUCACUCUGGUGAGGAACUGCAGCUACCCCAGGACUCAGCCUGGGCUGUUUCCUUUCUGAGAAACCAUCUGAACCGGGACAGUCCCUGCAGCCUGCUCUGCUCUUCUCCCCCGUUACUCACAGCAGGAAGCUUGCCAGAGUGAGGAGCACAGGCUGCUUACGUGAGUGAGGGCUGCAAAGUGCUGCUGUGGCCUCUCACCACUACUUUUCAAGGAAAAUGGAAUGAGAAGUUCCCCAUAACUGACCUUGAGUCUCUGCCUCCCAUCAGCAGCGCCUCCUCCCACGCACCUCCGUGUCCUUCAUCUCGCUGACUUACUGAGCCAGAGGUCCCCAGAGCUCCUGGGCUGGUUGCUGCUCCUCCUCGCCUGUUCCCAGGUACUCAGCCUGAACUGCUCCCAAACUCUUCAUGCCAUGUGGCUGCUUCUUAUUUGCACCAAAGACCUGAUUCAUCACUGCUCUGCCCUUCGAUAGAUGACAUCUGCUCCCACACAGCAGAUUGAAGACCCUCGAUGGAGAGCAUGCAGCAGUGCAGGCACCACUCUGAGGCGAAGGAGAUGGUGCUCUAGCCCCAGUCUGUCUGCUGAGUGCUGGAAGAGGAAGCCCCAACACAGAGCAGAGGCUAAGAAGAAUGAAAAAAAAAAGAGGAAUGGAAACAAUAAUGAGGAAUGGAGUUAUUGUAGGAGAGAGCAAGUAGAAGAGGUUGUUUGGGGACAGUGAAGAAAAUGCCAGAUAGGAAAGAAAUAGUGCUGGGAAGAAAGACAAUGGAGGAACGGAGGGAAACAAUUGGAAAGCUCCUGGUAGAAGCGAGCAGGGGGGUGGCUGAUCACAGGCCAGGAGCUUCCCACAAAGGUGCUGCAGCUUUGCCCUCUCCCAUCGCAGGCAGCUUAGGGGACGCACAGGACAACUCCCCGCACAAGUAGUUCAGUGGACGCUUCGGUGCUGAUGCGUUGCCGUGAGGGAGAUGGGGUUUGCCCCACCAGAAAGAAAUGUGAAGUGGGAGAGGGGUUAGAAAGUGGGCAGCAGCCAGGAAAAUGAGCGGCCCUGGGCGGUAGGAAAGCAGCAGCAGAGGCGGAGCAGGAGGGAAAGCCUCGCAGAGAGAACAGAGAGCAUCGCCCUACACUCAGCACCGCAGAGAGAACAGAGAGCAUCGCCCUACCCUCAGCACCGCAGAGAGAACAGAGAGCAUCGCCCUACACUCAGCACCGCAGAGAGAACAGAGAGCAUCGCCCUACACUCAGCACCGCAGAGAGAACAGAGAGCAUCGCCCUACACUCAGCACCGCAGUGCUGUCGGAUUGCAUCAGCUCUCUGCUGCUCCUGCUUCACCUGCAGCCCCUCCAGACAGGCCACUUCAAACAGGUUGGAAGAGGGAGCAGGCUUUCCCUAACCAAAGCCUCAGCCUUUUGUCUGAUGGCAAAAAUCAAUUCCAAAUGUGGAACUUUCAAUACAGACCAUAAUUUAGUUGCAAUUCAGA